rnacentral:rRNA from 1 species
GAUGAACGCUGGCGGCGUGCCUAAUACAUGCAAGUCGAGCGAACAGAUGAGGAGCUUGCUCCUCUGACGUUAGCGGCGGACGGGUGAUUAACACGUGGAUAACCUACCUAUAAGACUGGGAGAACUUCGGGAAACCGGAGCUAAUACCGGAUAAUAUAUUGAACCGCAUGGUUCAAUAGUGAAAGACGGUUUUGCUGUCACUUAUAGAUGGAUCCGCGCCGCAUUAGCUAGUUGGUAAGGUAACGGCUUACCAAGGCAACGAUGCGUAGCCGACCUGAGAGGGUGAUCGGACACACUGGAACUGAGACACGGUCCAGACUCCUACGGGAGGCAGCAGUAGGGAAUCUUACGCAAUGGGCGAAAGCCAGACGAAGCCAAGCCGCGUGAGUGAUGAAGGUCUUCGGAUAGUAAAACUCUGUUAUUAGGGAAGAACAAAUGUGUAAGUAACUAUGCACGUCUUGACGGUACCUAAUCAGAAAGCCACGGCUAACUACGUG